ACGUAGAGGACAUUACAGUGACCCCGGUCUAACCACCGGGAUGUUCAUAACCCUUUGUUGUCCGACUCUGGUUGCCUCCGGGGCGACCCUGCCUUCGGGCGGGGGCUCCGGGUGGACACUUCAAACUCUUGCGUAACUUUGCAGUCUGAGUAAACUUAAUUAAUAAAUUAAAACUUUUAACAACGGAUCUCUUGGUUCUGGCAUCGAUGAAGAACGCAGCGAAAUGCGAUAAGUAAUGUGAAUUGCAGAAUUCAGUGAAUCAUCGAAUCUUUGAACGCACAUUGCGCCCCCUGGUAUUCCGGGGGGCAUGCCUGUUCGAGCGUCAUUUCACCACUCAAGCCUCGCUUGGUAUUGGGCAACGCGGUCCGCCGCGUGCCUCAAAUCGACCGGCUGGGUCUUCUGUCCCCUAAGCGUUGUGGAAACUAUUCGCUAAAGGGUGUUCGGGAGGCUACGCCGUAAAACAACCCCAUUUCUAAGGUUGACCUCGGAUCAGGUAGGGAUACCCGCUGAACUUAAGCAUAUCAAUAAGNCGGAGGAA
rnacentral:rRNA from 1 species